UACGUAGGGGGCAAGCGUUGUCCGGAUUUAUUGGGCGUAAAGAGCGUGUAGGCGGCUAGGUAGGUCCGUUGUGAAAACUCGAGGCUCAACCUCGAGAUGUCGGCGGAAACCAUCUGGCUAGAGUCCGGAAGAGGAGAGUGGAAUUCCCGGUGUAGCGGUGAAAUGCGCAGAUAUCGGGAAGAACGCCCGUGGCGAAGGCGGCUCUCUGGGACGGUACUGACGCUGAGACGCGAAAGCGUGGGGAGCGAACAGG
rnacentral:rRNA from 1 species